UACGUAGGGGGCAAGCGUUGUCCGGAUUUACUGGGCGUAAAGAGCGUGUAGGCGGCCAAGCAGGUCCGUUGUGAAAACUGGAGGCUUAACCUCCAGACGUCGACGGAAACCGCGUGGCUAGAGUCCGGAAGAGGAGAGUGGAAUUCCUGGUGUAGCGGUGAAAUGCGCAGAUAUCAGGAAGAACACCAAUGGCGAAGGCAGCUCGCUGGGACGGUACUGACGCUGAGACGCGAAAGCGUGGGGAGCGAACAGG
rnacentral:rRNA from 1 species